rnacentral:lncRNA from 1 species
GAGAAGGGAAGAGGGGGGUAUCCUGGGGAACUGCUGGACAUUACUGAGGCUGAAGACAAUGAACUUUCAGUUGUGGGAUCUUUUCCAGCAGCAUUCAGUUUUCAGAAUAUGAACCUAAAAAAAAGCAAACAGCAUCACUGAUCCCAGAUUUAGAUUCUGACAGGCGAGUAGAAUGGAAGGGAUGGAGUUAAAGAUACUAGAAAUAGACUGCAUGAAAUGACUGAUGGACCAAGCUAUCUGUCUAAGCUAGACUGGCUCUAAACUGCAUCAGAAAGUAAACUAACAACAGAAGAGGGACAACAUACAGAAAGAAAGCAGAGUCAGGAGACUGAAAUGUCAAGAAGCAGGGACAGUGUGACUGACUAAAUGAAAGAAGUUGACACUGAACUCCUGAAAAGACUACCUAAGUCGUUGAAAUGAGAAAACUACAUUAAUGCACAGACAGCAUUUUACUUCACCAACCUAUACCUUUGUAAGUGUAUGUGGAAAAUAAAUAUACAAGCCAGAUGAGGCUUGUUAGAAUGGGAAAGCCGUAUGAAUAAAAGACACGAAGUAACGUGAUUGCAACUGAGGAUAUCUUGAGGAAUUUUUCACCAUUGGCUAGUUACUUCGAAUGUAUGGAUAAUCAAAGGGCGACAGACCUCUAAAGAUUCCAAGUGUCUACUUAAAAGCUGUUAAGUGAAGAGUGAUGAAAUGGAGGACACCCACAAUAAUUCUUGGACUCCUGGAGAUCCUAAGACAUGCUACAAAAAUAGGUCUUUAUUCUUAGGAAAAUAUAGUCAGAGCUAGCUUCCUUAUGCUAUACAUAAAAUCUUAACAUCAGAGGCAGUACAGAUAGUACAGAUAGUUUUUGAACUGAUCUCCAAACAAGCACAAACCCACUACGUUGAAAAGAACAGGUAAUUUGAGGUUUUUGGCAAAAGACAGUACUUCACACAUCUAAUCCAAAUCAAAGGGCCUGCAGACAGUUUUCAGUGAGAUGAAA